AUUGAACGCUGGCGGCAGGCCUAACACAUGCAAGUCGAACGAGUGGAGGACGGGUGAGUAAUGUCUGGGAAACUGCCUGAUGGAGGGGGAUAACUCCUGGAAACAGUAGCUAAUAACGCAUACCAUCAGAUGUGCCAAGAUGGGAUUAGCUAGUAGGUGGGGUAACGGCGCACCUAGGCGACGAUCCCUAUCUGGUCUGAGAGGGGGAACAGCCACACUGGAACUGAGAAACGGCCCAGACUCCUACGGGGGGCAGCAGUGGUGAAUAUUGCCCAAUGGGCGCAAGCCGUAUGCAGCCAUGCCGCUUGUAUGAAGAAGGCCUUCGGGUUGUAAAGUACUUUCAGCGGGGAGGCGUUACCCGCAGAAUAAGCACCGGCUAACUCCGUGCCAGCAGCCGCGGUAAUAC
rnacentral:rRNA from 1 species